rnacentral:rRNA from 1 species
CCUACGGGCGGCAGCAGUGGGGAAUAUUGCACAAUGGGCGCAAGCCUGAUGCAGCCAUGCCGCGUGUGUGAAGAAGGCCUUCGGGUUGUAAAGCACUUUCAGCGGGGAGGAAGGCGGUGAGGUUAAUAACCUCAUCGAUUGACGUUACCCGCAGAAGAAGCACCGGCUAACUCCGUGCCAGCAGCCGCGGUAAUACGGAGGGUGCAAGCGUUAAUCGGAAUUACUGGGCGUAAAGCGCACGCAGGCGGUCUGUCAAGUCGGAUGUGAAAUCCCGGGCUCAACCUGGGAACUGCAUUCGAAACGGGCAGGCUAGAGUCUUGUAGAGGGGGGUAGAAUUCCAGGUGUAGCGGUGAAAUGCGUAGAGAUCUGGAGGAAUACCGGUGGCGAAGGCGGCCCCCUGGACAAAGACUGACGCUCAGGUGCGAAAGCGUGGGGAGCAAACAGGAUUAGAUACCCGAGUAGUC